rnacentral:sRNA from 1 species
UUCACCGCUACUCCACAGACCGCCAGUGGCACGUCCCUCACUUUGAGAAGAUGCUCUAUGACCAGGCACAGCUCGCUGUGGCCUAUUCGCAGGCCUUCCAGCUCUCUGGUGAUGAAUUCUACUCUGACGUGGCCAAAGGCAUCCUGCAGUAUGUGGCUCGGAGCCUGAGCCACCGGUCCGGAGGCUUCUAUAGCGCAGAGGAUGCAGACUCGCCCCCAGAGCGGGGCCUGCGGCCCAAAGAGGGCGCCUACUAUGUGUGGACGGUCAAAGAGGUUCAGCAGCUCCUCCCGGAGCCUGUGUUGGGUGCCACUGAGCCGCUGACCUCAGGCCAGCUCCUCAUGAAGCACUACGGCCUCACAGAGGCUGGUAACAUCAGCCCCAGUCAGGUGAGGACUUCUGGGGUCACCUGACGGGCCCUGGUGCCUGCCAGGCAUGUGAGCUCGCAGACAAAGGCCAUUCUCCUCAGGACCCCAAGGGGGAGCUGCAGGGCCAGAAUGUGCUGACCGUCCGGUACUCGCUGGAGCUGACUGCUGCCCGCUUUGGCUUGGAUGUGGAGGCCGUGCGGACCUUGCUCAAUACAGGGCUGGAGAAGCUCUUCCAGGCCCGGAAGCAUCGGCCCAAGCCGCACCUGGACAGCAAGAUGCUGGCUGCCUGGAAUGGCUUGAUGGUGUCAGGCUAUGCUGUGACUGGGGCUGUCCUGGGCCAAGACAGGCUGAUCAACUAUGCCACCAAUGGUGCCAAGUUCCUGAAGCGGCACAUGUUUGAUGUGGCCAGUGGCCGCCUGAUGCGGACCUGCUACACCGGCCCUGGGGGGACUG